UCUGGGAAUAUUCAGGCUGAGUCAUGUCGUCCCCUCUGGGUAAACACCAUCAACACACGCUAAAAGAUCCUUUGUAGCCUAAAUUUCCAUGAACGGGAGUAGAACUUUAACAGGAUGCAUUGUAGCAAUGCUAUUGUGGAUACAAGGAAUAAGUCGUGGAUACCAGGAAUAGCACAAGCGAGGUGCAUUCUGGGAAGGGCAACGGUCGGCAGUAAAGCGCUGGUCUGGGAUCAGUUUACAAGGCUGGCUUUGAUUCUGAGUGAUGCUGGAGUUACGAGGAAGCUGAUCUGAAAUCAGUCACUUCGGGCUAUGGGUGUAAUGACAAGGGGACUUCUUGGUUAAAACAGGACGGGAUCCAUUCUGAAAGUGAUGAGGACCCGUGAGCCAAUGCUCUGUAUUCUACACAUUCAUAAUAAUGUCAACUAUUUUCUGAAAUAUGUUUUCUGAUGUGCUUAUUACUCUCAUAUUGCAAACACCUUUAUUGUGAUGCAAAUGAAAGUGUUAUCAGCAACUGUUUCCAUAAAAACGCCAUCUGUACUGCACUGUAACACAUGUAACAACCUGUUUGUGUUACUUCACUAGAGACUUUAUAGGCCAGUGCAGUUUAGUGUAAUGGAUGGAUGGACAUAUAGAUAAACAAACAGACAGAUAGACAAGCAGAUGGACAGAUGGAUGGACUGACAGACAGACAGACGGAUAGACAGAUAGAUAGAUAGAUAGAUAG